UGACCUAAGGGUACAGAGCUCAUCUCCGGU
rnacentral:piRNA from 1 species